UCUGGUGGCGAUAGCGAAGAGGUCACACCCGUUCCCAUCCCGAACACGGAAGGUAAGCUCUUCAGCGCCAACGGUAGUGAGGGGCUUCCCCUUGUGAGAGUAGGACGUUGCCAGGC
rnacentral:rRNA from 1 species